GGGCUACUAACUUAACGGUAGAGUAUUCGGCUUUUAACCGAUUGGUUCCAAGUUCAAAUCUUGGGUAUCCCA
rnacentral:tRNA from 1 species